rnacentral:rRNA from 1 species
UUUUCCCCGGGGCAUCUAGCAUAUCAAUAAGCGGAGGAAAAGAAACCAACAGGGAUUACCUCAGUAACGGCGAGUGAAGCGGUAAUAGCUCAAAUUUGAAAUCUGGCUUCGGUCCGAGUUGUAAUUUGUAGAAGAUGCUUCGGGUGUGGCUCCGGUCUAAGUUCCUUGGAACAGGACGUCAUAGAGGGUGAGAAUCCCGUAUGUGACUGGAUGCCUCCGCCUAUGUGAAGCUCUUUCGACGAGUCGAGUUGUUUGGGAAUGCAGCUCAAAAUGGGUGGUAUAUUUCAUCUAAAGCUAAAUAUUGGCCAGAGACCGAUAGCGCACAAGUAGAGUGAUCGAAAGAUGAAAAGCACUUUGGAAAGAGAGUUAAACAGUACGUGAAAUUGUUGAAAGGGAAGCGUUUGCAAUCAGACUUGCACGUUGCCGAUCAUCUGGUGUUCUCACCAGUGCACUCGGUUUCGUUCAGGCCAGCAUCGGUUUGGGUGGUUGGAUAAAGGCCUUGGGAAUGUAGCUUCUUUCGGGGAGUGUUAUAGCCCUCGGUGCAAUGCAGCCUACCUGGACCGAGGACCGCGCUUCGGCUAGGAUGCUGGCGUAAUGAUUGUAAACGACCCGUCUUGAAACACGGACCAAGGAGUCUAACAUCUAUGCGAGUAUUUGGGUGUUAAACCCAUAUGCGUAAUUAACGUGAACGGAGGUAAGAGCCCUUAAGGGUGCAUUAUCGACCGGUCCUGAUGUCUUCGGAAGGAUCUGAGUAAGAGCAUAGCUGUUGGGACCCGAAAGAUGGUGAACUAUGCCUGAAUAGGGUGAAGCCAGAGGAAACUCUGGUGGAGGCUCGCAGCGGUUCUGACGUGCAAAUCGAUCGUCAAAUUUGGGUAUAGGGGCGAAAGACUAAUCGAACCAUCUAGUAGCUGGUUCCUGCCGAGCUCUCCCCCUCUGAGAGAAAA